rnacentral:rRNA from 1 species
ACGGAAGGCAGCAGUGGGGAAUAUUGCACAAUGGGGGAAACCCUGAUGCAGCGACGCCGCGUGAAGGAUGAAGGUCUUCGGAUCGUAAACUUUUGUCUUCAGGGACGAUAAUGACGGUACCUGAGGAGGAAGCCACGGCUAACUACGUGCCAGCAGCCGCGGUAAUACGUAGGUGGCAAGCGUUGUUCGGAUUUACUGGGUGUAAAGGGCGUGUAGGCGGGUUUUUAAGUCAGGUGUGAAAUCCCUCGGCUCAACCGAGGAACUGCACUUGAAACUGGAGAUCUUGAGUGUCGGAGAGGGAAGCGGAAUUCCUAGUGUAGCGGUGAAAUGCGUAGAUAUUAGGAGGAACACCGGUGGCGAAGGCGGCUUUCUGGACGAUAACUGACGCUGAGGCGCGAAAGCGUGGGGAGCAAACAGGAUUAGAUACCCUGGUA